GACGAAGGUGGCUAGCGUUGUUCGGUGUCACUGGGCUUAAAGCGUGUGUAGGCGGAAAGGUAAGCGUUUUGUGAAAUCCCUCGGCUCAACCGAGGAAUUGCUUGACGAACUGCUUUUCUUGAGGCAAGUAGGGGUGUACGGAACUCUUGGUGGAGCGGUGGAAUGCGUAGAUAUCAAGAGGAACGCCGAUGGUGAAAACAGUACACUGGGCUUGUCCUGACGCUGAGACACGAAAGCGUGGGGAGCGAACGGGAUUAGAUACCCCCGUA
rnacentral:rRNA from 1 species